ACGUAGGGUGCGAGCGUUAUCCGGAUUUACUGGGCGUAAAGUGUAUCGUCGGCGUCUUGAUAAGUUUUUCGUUCAAGCCUAGGGCUCAACUCUAGACCAGCGAGAAAAACUAUCUUGAUUGAGUCUGUUCGGGGGAACUGGAACACUCGGUGGAGGGGUGAAAUCCGUAGAUAUCGAGUGGAACACCAAUAGCGAAGGCAGGUUCCUAGGGCAGCACUGACGCUCAUGAACGACAGCUAGGGGAGCAAAAGGGAUUAGAGACCCCUGUAGUCCUAGCCGUAAACAAUGGAUGCUAGAUACCCCGCUCUGCGGGGCGUCGUAAGCUAACGCGUUAAGCAUCCCGCCUGGGGAUUACGACCGCAAGGUUA
rnacentral:rRNA from 1 species